rnacentral:rRNA from 1 species
AUGGCGGCGACCGCGACGACGUUGAUGAGGAUGGUGCUGCUGGUGGUGCUCUUGGUGCAGAUGCUCAACGUCAUGACCGUCUCGGCGAGGACGUUGAAGGGGGACGCCUGGCUCAAGGACGGCAUCGGGAUGGUGAUGGAGAUGCUCGGCGACCUGAAAUCAGGCUCCAGCCCUCCCACGCACUGCUGCUAA